GCCAGAGUGGCGGAGUGGCUACGCGGUUGACUGCAGAUCAACUCUAUCCCGGUUCGAUUCCGGGCUCUGGCU
rnacentral:tRNA from 2 species